AGCUGGAAUUCCAUCCAGCGUGACCUGGACUCGGGGUCCGGCCAAGCAAGUCACAGUCACUGCGGUCCCCUCGGGGGCGCUGGGCUCACUCAGGUUUAGGAUGGGCCCCUGGAAGCCUAAAGACGGGACAUUUCCCAGACAAUCUCCUGGGCACCCUCCUGCUCCAUACUCGCUGUGGCUGUGGCUGUGGCUGUGAUCGUGUUCUCGUGACUCUCGACUGUAGAGUUCAGCGUCUGGUUCCCCAGCGCCAGGUGGACCUGGACCUCAGAGGCGGGGAACAACCCGUCCAGGGUGCAGUUCACGGACCAAGUCGUUCCUACCUCCAAGAACCGACGGACAGUGAGGUGUGGAGUGGUCGCGGGCAGUGCUGGGGAGAAGGGCGGACGUGAGCAGGAGGAAGGUCUCCCAGAGCCCUGGGUGUCCCUUUCCCCAUGGAAUGCUCACUGUCCCGAACCAGGGUCCUUCUUUCCCAGGAUAUCUUGUGGCCUGGCUCACCCCCUUCCCAGGACACACCCCCUUAGACUUCUCGUUAGUUACGGGGCCGUGAGUCUCCCAGCUGAGGCUGCACAGUCCUCAGUGGCCAAGGGCAUCCCUUCCCAGAAGCCGCUGAGGUCCAGUCCACUCCAUUUGCAAGAAACCUCCCGGCCAGGGUACCCCUUCUCUGGCUCAGCUCAUCACCCACCCUCUGCAGUCUCUUCCCUCACCAAAGGUUUGGAGCUGCCUGGGGGCCGAGCUGUUCUGGAACAAUUCCAGCCCUCCGGGCCUCAGGUCCAGUUCCGUGCGGCAGGAGAAAUUGGCGAGGUGGUCGUCUCUGCCCGCCAGCACCGUGACCGUGACCUCGGCGGGCUCCCCGACGGCGGGCUGCCGGCUCAGCUCCUCCUCCCCGCGGAGCAGCACCACGUGUUCCUUAGACUUUCCAGAUGUCAUCCUCCUUCCUGCACGCAGCAACCAAGCGAAAUCUCUGUAUCCUUCUGCUUUACGGUUGAGGAAACCAAGGCCCAGAGAGGUGAGAGUAAGGUGAUCUACUCAAGGACACAGAGCCAGAAAGGGUUAGAAGGUGAGUCACCCAAACUCCAGGCCCCUGUGUGUUUCCCUGCCUCCUUGAUGUCACAGCCUGGGACUCCCACAGCCCACCUCCCAGCGUCUGGCCUGGACUCUGGCCUUGGCCUUCUCAGUCAGUCCCAGGCACUCAAGGCUCUUCUGGGGCAGCCUCUCAGGGUGCCCUGGCACUGCCCUGAGGGACUGCACAGCCCCAGGCUGGCUGGGUCUGCUCCCAGCGGCAGCUGCAGUGCCCCUCCUAGGCAUGCGGACCAAACCCCGGACCCCCUUCGGGAAGCAUCUUGGGCCCUCGACAACUCAAGCCUGGAUCUCAGCUAUCACACGGAGGCCAGUGCACGGGCUGCUGUGAAAAAUAGCUAACAUCUUCCUGCAGGUGUCCCCCGCUUUCCAAAAGUUCAUGACUCCACUUUGGUGAAAGCCCAACAUUAAUUAGCACCUGUUUUCACUAAGCAGAAGAACUCAGAAGAGGAUUUCCGCUUUUAAGAAAAAUAGCCAGGGGGCGCCUGGGUGCCUCCAUCAGUUAAGUCUCUGCCUUCCUCUAAGGUUGUGAUCCCAGGUCCUGGGAUGGAUCCAGCCCCACAAUGGGCUCCCUGAUCAUUAGAGAGCCUGCUUCUCCCUCUCCCUCUGCCCCUCCCUCGGCUCGUGGUCUCUCACUCUCUCUCUCUUUCAGAUAAAUAAAAUCUCUUAAAAAAGAAAAGGAAAGGAAAAUGGCCAGGGGCGCCUGUGCACAGUCGGUUAGGCCUCCAGCCCUGGGUUUCUGCUCAAAUCAUGAUCCCAGGGUCAUGAGAUCGAGUACCACGUUGGGCUCUGUGUUCAGUGCAGACUCAGCUUGAAAUUCUCUCUCCCUCUCCCUUUGCCCCUCCUGCUUGUGCUCCCUCUCAAAUAAAUAAAUCAACCUUUAAAAAAAAAUUGGUGAAAAGCAUAGAUAGCAUUCAGUGUUGGUUUUGCAGGGAGGGGUUAUAGGGCAGCAGAUAUCACGUCCAGUGGGAGGGUCGCCCAAGGUCCUUCCCUGGGAUGGCACUCAGCAUCCCAGCGGCGAGCCGCCGGAGCUCUGACCUGCGUCUGCGAGCAUCAGGACUUUCUCCCCAUUUAUUUUGUGAGCCUGUUAGCAAAAUGUGUCCGUAAAAUGUAUCAGAAAAGCCUAGGAGAUGUUAUUUUUGGCAUCUGAGAAUGCUCAAGAUUUUCUUCAAUAGAAAUUGAUUGCUUCUUCACUUUCCAUCAUUUUUUAAAAGGAUUUUAUUUAUUUAUUUGAGAGAGAGAGAAAAUGCACACAAGCAAGGGGAGCAGCAGAGGGAGAGGGAGAAGCAGGCUCUCUGCUGAGCAGGGGGCCUGAUGGGCUCUAUCUCAGGACUCUGGGAUCAUGACCUGAGCUGAAGGCAGACACUUAAGGACUGAGGCCCCCAGGCGCACCCACUUUACAUCAUUUUGACUCACAAAAGGUUUCACAGGAGUGCUUUCCUUUGGAAGCAGGAGAAGCCUGUAUUUACAAUUUUAGAGUAUUUAACAAAAAGGGCCCCCAUCCAGCCUCAGGCACCAGGGGUCAGAGAUGGUGGCCUGUGGGCCCAGGCUAGUAACACUUGGGAACUCAGGGCUGGGGUGGGGUGGGACAGCCCCAACAUGGAGCGUUUGCCGAUUUCUGCAGUGUAAAUACUCCUACUCUGGCUGCUUUUAAGCUAGCUACCCAGCGUGACUCAGGGUCUCGAACGGAUGAGUGCGUUUGGCUCCUGUAAGCCAGGACUGACAGGCUUCCACAGAACGCUGGACAGAGGUAUCUGGGACACACAGAGAUCCGCACUUUACACAGAAAUAUGAUACAAAGACAUAAAAGCACAGACGUGUCCCGACACAGACCUCCACGCCCAUCACACACAAAUACACACCGACACAGAAACACACGCUCACACACAGAGACACACAUAGGCGCAGAUCCUGAGCCAGACCUACCCACACUCACAUUCACAUCCACACACGCCACAGGCACACACAAACAUGCAGACAGACACUAACGCCUGUGUACACUCCACACAGACUCGCAGAGAUGAUGACACACGUAUUUACAUGCACAGACACGCACAUGGGGACACAGACACAGGCGCACACACGGUCCCAAGCAUAUACCACACUUCUCUAUGAAGGCUCCGCCAAAUGGCCGGGACCAGGAGGGGCGUGCUCUCUUUUCUGAUCUAUUGGAUUCCUUUAAAUGCAGAGAAACUCUGGCAGGAAGCACAAGAGACUGGUAACAGGAGCGCCUGGGUGGCUCAGUGGGUUAAAGCCUCUGCCUUCGGCUCAGGUCAUGAUCCCAGGGUCCUAGGAUUGAGCCCCACAUCGGGCUCUCUGCUCCAUGGGAAGCCUGCUUCCUCCUCUCUCUUUGCUGCCUCUGCCUACUUGUGAUCUCUCUCUGUCAAAUAAAUAAAUAAAAUCAAUAAAAUCUUAAAAAAAAAAAAAAAAAGAGAAGAAA